AGUCGAGGGGCAGCAUUUCAGUUUGCUUGCAAACUGGAGAUGGCGACCGGCGCACGGGUGAGUAACACGCUAUCCAACCUGCCGAUAACUCGGGGAUAGCCUUUCGAAAGAAAGAUUAAUACCCGAUGGUAUAAUCAGACCGCAUGGUCUUNUUAUUAAAGAAUUUCGGUUAUCGAUGGGGAUGCGUUCCAUUAGGCAGUUGGUGAGGUAACGGCUCACCAAACCUUCGAUGGAUAGGGGUUCUGAGAGGAAGGUCCCCCACAUUGGAACUGAGACACGGUCCAAACUCNUACGGGAGGCAGCAGUGAGGAAUAUUGGUCAAUGGGCGCAGGCCUGAACCAGCCAAGUAGCGUGAAGGAUGACUGCCCUAUGGGUUGUAAACUUCUUUUAUAUGGGAAUAAAGUUUUCCACGUGUGGAAUUUUGUAUGUACCAUAUGAAUAAGGAUCGGCUAACUCCGUGCCAGCAGCCGCGGUAAUACGGAGGAUCCGAGCGUUAUCCGGAUUUUAUUGGGUUUAAAGGGAGCGUAGGUGGACAGUUAAGUCAGUUGUGAAAGUUUGCGGCUCAACCGUAAAAUUGCAGUUGAUACUGGCUGUCUUGAGUACAGUAGAGGUGGGCGGAAUUCGUGGUGUAGCGGUGAAAUGCUUAGAUAUCACGAAGAACUCCGAUUGCGAAGGCAGCUCACUGGACUGCAACUGACACUGAUGCUCGAAAGUGUGGGUAUCAAACAGGAUUAGAUACCCUGGUAGUCCACACAGUAAACGAUGAAUACUCGCUGUUUGCGAUAUACAGUAAGCGGCCAAGCGAAAGCAUUAAGUAUUCCACCUGGGGAGUACGCCGGCAACGGUGAAACUCAAAGGAAUUGACGGGGGCCCGCACAAGCGGAGGAACAUGUGGUUUAAUUCGAUGAUACGCGAGGAACCUUACCCGGGCUUAAAUUGCAUUUUGAAUAUUUUGGAAACAGGNUAGCCGNAAGGCAAAUGUGAAGGUGCUGCAUGGUUGUCGUCAGCUCGUGCCGUGAGGUGUCGGCUUAAGUGCCAUAACGAGCGCAACCCUUAUCUUUAGUUACUAACAGGUCAUGCUGAGGACUCUAGAGAGACUGCCGUCGUAAGAUGUGAGGAAGGUGGGGAUGACGUCAAAUCAGCACGGCCCUUACGUCCGGGGCUACACACGUGUUACAAUGGGGGGUACAGAAGGCAGCUACCUGGUGACAGGAUGCUAAUCCCAAAAGCCUCUCUCAGUUCGGAUCGAAGUCUGCAACCCGACUUCGUGAAGCUGGAUUCGCUAGUAAUCGCGCAUCAGCCAUGGCGCGGUGAAUACGUUCCCGGGCCUUGUACACACCGCCCGUCAAGCCAUGAAAGCCGGGGGUACCUGAAGUACGUAACCGCAAGGAGCUCCUAGG
rnacentral:rRNA from 1 species